rnacentral:rRNA from 1 species
UACGUAGGUGGCAAGCGUUGUCCGGAAUUACUGGGCGUAAAGCGUGCGCAGGCGGUUCGUUGUGUCUGAUGUGAAAGCCCCGGGCUCAACCUGGGAAUGGCAUUGGAAACUGGCGAGCUAGAGUGUGGCAGAGGGGGGUGGAAUUCCGCGUGUAGCAGUGAAAUGCGUAGAGAUGCGGAGGAACACCGAUGGCGAAGGCAGCCCCCUGGGCCAACACUGACGCUCAGGCACGAAAGCGUGGGGAGCAAACAGG